rnacentral:rRNA from 1 species
AGGGUUUGAUCCUGGCUCAGAACGAACGGUAGCGGCGUGGAUUAGGCAUGCAAGUCGAACGCUCCAUUUUCUUUCGGGAUAGUGGAGAGUGGCGAAAGGGUGAGUAAUGCAUAGACAAUCAACCCCCGACUUUCGGAUAGCUGGGAGAAAUCCCAGCUAAUACGGAAUAGGCUCGACGGGAAGCAUUUUCUGUCGAUUAAAGGAGGCCUCUCAACGAUGCUCCUGGUUGGGGACGGGUUUAUGUCCUAUCAGCUUGUUGGUGGGGUAACAGCCUACCAAGGCAAUGACGGGUAGCCGACCUGAGAGGGUGACCGGCCACACUGGGACUGAGACACUGCCCAGACUCCUACGGGAGGCUGCAGUCGAGAAUCUUCCGCAAUGGGCGAAAGCCUGACGGAGCGACGCCGCGUGCAGGAUGAAGGCCUUCGGGUUGUAAACUGCUGUCCUAGGUUAAGAAACGUUUAGGUGUCAAUAGCAUCUAGACUUGACAAAGGCCUAGAAGAAAGCCACGGCUAACUUCGUGCCAGCAGCCGCGGUAAGACGAAGGUGGCAACCGUUGUUCGGAAUUACUGGGCAUAAAGCGCGCGUAGGCGGCGACAUCAGUCAGGUGUGAAAUCCCUCGGCCCAACCGAGGAACUGCGCUUGAUACUGUGUCGCUUGAGGAUGGGAGGGGAGCGUGGAAUUCCUGGUGGAGCGGUGAAAUGCGUUGAUAUCAGGAGGAACCCCGGCGGCGAAGGCGACGCUCUGGCCCAUUUCUGACGCUGAGGUGCGAAAGCUAGGGUAGCAAACGGGAUUAGAUACCCCGGUAGUCCUAGCCGUAAACGAUGGGCACUAGGUAGGGGGGGAGUCCAAUCUUUCCCUGCUGGAGAUAAUUCGUUAAGUGCCCCGCCUGGGGAGUAUAGUCGCAAGGCUGGAACUCAAAGGAAUUGACGGGGGCUCACACAAGCGGUGGAGCAUGUUGUUUAAUUCGACGCGCAGAACCUUACCUGGGCUUGACAUGCUAGUAGUACGAACCUGAAAGGGAGAGGACCCUCUUUUGAGGGAGCUAGCACAGGUGUUGCAUGGCUGUCGUCAGCUCGUGUCGUGAGAUGUCGGGUUAAGUCCCAUAACGAGCGAAACCCUUAUCCUCAGUUGCCAGCGGGUAAAGCCGGGGACUCUGGGGAGACUGCCGGUGUUAAACCGGAGGAAGGUGGGGAUGACGUCAAGUCCUCAUGGCCCUUACGCCCAGGGCUACAAACGUGCCACAAUGGCCGGUACAGAGGGACGCUACUCCGUAAGGACACGCAAAUCCCAAAAAGCCGGUCUCAGUUCGGAUUGAGGGCUGCAACUCGCCCUCAUGAAGCUGGAAUCGCUAGUAAUCGGAGAUCAGCCACGCUCCGGUGAAUAUGUUCCUGAGCCUUGUACACACCGCCCGUCAUGCCACGAGAGCCGGGAGUGCCCGAAGCCACUAACCCAACCG